AUGAACGCUGGCGGCGUGCCUAAUACAUGCAAGUAGAACGCUGAAGGAGGAGCUUGCUCUUCUGGAUGAGUUGCGAACGGGUGAGUAACGCGUAGGUAACCUGCCUGGUAGCGGGGGAUAACUAUUGGAAACGAUAGCUAAUACCGCAUGACAACAGUUAUUGCAUGAUAACUGUUUAAAAGGGGCAACUGCUCCACUACCAGAUGGACCUGCGUUGUAUUAGCUAGUUGGUGAGGUAACGGCUCACCAAGGCGACGAUACAUAGCCGACCUGAGAGGGUGAUCGGCCACACUGGGACUGAGACACGGCCCAGACUCCUACGGGAGGCAGCAGUAGGGAAUCUUCGGCAAUGGACGGAAGUCUGACCAAGCAACGCCGCGUGAGUGAAGAAGGUUUUCGGAUCGUAAAGCUCUGUUGUAAGAGAAGAACGAGUGUGAGAGUGGAAAGUUCACACUGUGACGGUAUCUUACCAGAAAGGGACGGCUAACUACGUG
rnacentral:rRNA from 1 species